GUGGGGAAUAUUGGACAAUGGGCGAAAGCCUGAUCCAGCCAUGCCGCGUGUGUGAAGAAGGUCUUCGGAUUGUAAAGCACUUUAAGUUGGGAGGAAGGGCAGUAAGUUAAUACCUUGCUGUUUUGACGUUACCGACAGAAUAAGCACCGGCUAACUUCGUGCCAGCAGCCGCGGUAAUACGAAGGGUGCAAGCGUUAAUCGGAAUUACUGGGCGUAAAGCGCGCGUAGGGGGUUUUGUAAGUUGGAGGUGAAAUCCCCGGGCUCAACCUGGGAACUGCCUCCAAAACUGCAUGACUAGAGUACGGUAGAGGGUAGUGGAAUUUCCUGUGUAGCGGUGAAAUGCGUAGAUAUAGGAAGGAACACCAGUGGCGAAGGCGACUACCUGGACUGAUACUGACACUGAGGUGCGAAAGCGUGGGGAGCAAACAGGAUUAGAUACCCCUGUAGUCC
rnacentral:rRNA from 1 species